rnacentral:miRNA from 1 species
AAUGCACCUAGGCAAGGAUUCA